rnacentral:rRNA from 1 species
UUAAGCCCCAGUAAACGGCGGCCGUAACUAUAACGGUCCUAAGGUAGCGAAAUUCCUUGUCGGGUAAGUUCCGACCCGCACGAAAGGCGUAACGAUUUGGGCACUGUCUCAACAACAGACUCGGUGAAAUUGUAAUUCCGGUGAAGAUGCCGGAUACCUGCGACAGGACGGAAAGACCCCAUGGAGCUUUACUGUAGCUUGACAUUGGGUCUUGGUACUACAUGUACAGGAUAGGUGGGAGGCUUUGAAACCAGGACGCCAGUUUUGGCGGAGCCAUCCUUGGGAUACCACCCUUGUAGUACUGGGACUCUAACCAUAGGCCAUGAAUCUGGUCUUGGGACACUGUCAGGUGGGCAGUUUGACUGGGGCGGUCGCCUCCCAAAAGGUAACGGAGGCGCUCAAAGGUUCUCUCAGUACGGUCGGAAAUCGUACGUAGAGUGUAAAGGCAAAAGAGAGCUUGAUUGCAAGACAUACAGGUCGAGCAAGGAUGAAAAUCGGACUUAGUGAUCCGGUGGUUCUGCGUGGAAGGGCCAUCGCUCAACGGAUAAAAGCUACCCUGGGGAUAACAGGCUUAUCUCCCCCAAGAGUCCACAUCGACGGGGAGGUUUGGCACCUCGAUGUCGGCUCAUCACAUCCUGGGGCUGUAGUAGGUCCCAAGGGUUGGGCUGUUCGCCCAUUAAAGUGGUACGCGAGCUGGGUUCAGAACGUCGUGAGACAGUUCGGUCCCUAUCCGUCGCAGGCGUAGGAAAUUUGAGAAGACCUGUCCUUAGUACGAGAGGACCGGGAUGGACG